rnacentral:rRNA from 1 species
GAUGAACGCUGGCGGCGUGCCUAAUACAUGCAAGUCGAGCGAACAGACGAGGAGCUUGCUCCUCUGACGUUAGCGGCGGACGGGUGAGUAACACGUGGAUAACCUACCUAUAAGACUGGGAUAACUUCGGGAAACCGGAGCUAAUACCGGAUAAUAUAUUGAACCGCAUGGUUCAAUAGUAAAAGACGGUUUUGCUGUCACUUAUAGAUGGAUCCGCGCCGCAUUAGCUAGUUGGUAAGGUAACGGCUUACCAAGGCAACGAUGCGUAGCCGACCUGAGAGGGUGAUCGGCCACACUGGAACUGAGACACGGUCCAGACUCCUACGGGAGGCAGCAGUAGGGAAUCUUCCGCAAUGGGCGAAAGCUUGACGGAGCAACGCCGCGUGAGUGAUGAAGGUCUUCGGAUCGUAAAACUCUGUUACUAGGGAAGAACAAAUGUGUAAGUAACUAUGCACGUCUUGACGGUACCUAAUCAGAAAGCCACGGCUAACUACGUG